rnacentral:rRNA from 1 species
UGGUUGAUCCUGCCAGCGGCCACCGCUAUUGGAAUUCGAUUAAGACAUGCGAGUCGAGAGUCUUAAUGGACUCGGCGGACUGCUCAGUAACACGUGGAUAACAUGCCCUAGAGUGGAGGAUAAUCUCGGGAAAUUGAGGAUAAUACUCCAUAGAUCAUGAAUUCUGGAACGACUCAUGGUCGAAAGUUCCGGCGCUCUAGGAUUGGUCUGCGGCCUAUCAGGUAGUAGUGGGUGUAACGGACCCACUAGCCGACGACGGGUAUGGGCCUUGAGAGAGGGAGCCCAGAGAUGGAAUCUGAGACACGAUUCCAGGCCCUACGGGGCGCAGCAGUCGCGAAAACUUCACAAUGGAGGCAACUCCGAUGAGGGAAUUCCAAGUGCUAGCACAUUAGUGUUAGCUUUUCUUAAGCAUAGAUAACUUAAGGAAUAAGGGCUGGGUAAGACGGGUGCCAGCCGCCGCGGUAAUACCCGCAGCCCAAGUGGUGGUCGAUUUUAUUGAGUCUAAAACGUUCGUAGCCGGUUCAUUAAUCCUUGGGUAAAUCGGAUGGCUUAACUAUCCGAAUUC